GUGGGGAAUAUUGGACAAUGGGCGAAAGCCUGAUCCAGCCAUGCCGCGUGUGUGAAGAAGGUCUUCGGAUUGUAAAGCACUUUAAGUUGGGAGGAAGGGCAGUAAGUUAAUACCUUGCUGUUUUGACGUUACCGACAGAAUAAGCACCGGCUAACUUCGUGCCAGCAGCCGCGGUAAUACGAAGGGUGCAAGCGUUAAUCGGAAUUACUGGGCGUAAAGCGCGCGUAGGUGGUUUUGUAAGUGGGUGGUGAAAUCCCCGGGCUCAACCUGGGAACUGCCUCCAAAACUGCAUGACUAGAGUACGGUAGAGGGUAGUGGAAUUUCCUGUGUAGCGGUGAAAUGCGUAGAUAUAGGAAGGAACACCAGUGGCGAAGGCGACUACCUGGACUGAUACUGACACUGAGGUGCGAAAGCGUGGGGAGCAAACAGGAUUAGAAACCCUAGUAGUCC
rnacentral:rRNA from 1 species